rnacentral:lncRNA from 1 species
GGAAUUUACUGACCCCGUAUAUAUCGUAUUACAUGUAGGUCACUAACACACUAUGUAACUGACAAUAUCUGACCAAAGUUUAAACGAAUCACUUAUUUGAUUAUGUUUACAGUUUUUAUAAUACUGCAAUUUACAAAUAUAGGAUAUAAGAUUUAUUGAUAUAUGUUGUCUGAACGCACAGUGGCAAAUAUUUCAUGUAGAUUUAUGACCGGGAGAAGAACAUUUAAAAAAAUUAAUAAGAUCUUGCAUGCGUUGUCGGUGAUAAAUAAUGAGAAAAGGUUCAAUAUAAAUAUACAAAAAAAAAACAACGAUGAGAGAGACACGACAAAAAAUAAUCCAGCAAAAUAUGAAAUAUAAAAUCAUUUUCAUGGAUUAUUUUUUCAUCCUCUUUGUUGGUUUGCUGUAGUCUAUUAAUCUCACUGACUUUAAUUUUAAGACAACCAUAAACGACCAAAUAAACAGCUUCUUCUAGUAGAUCCUCUUAUGCUAGUAGAAUUAUGCAUCCUAUUCCGCUUGAAUAUCAGAUAGUUAUUUGAAAUAAUUCAAGAUAUAUGAGAUGGUUUACAAAUAAAAAAAAUAAAGACAACAUCCCCUCCCCCACCCCCACCCCUUAAAAAAAGAAUAAAGAAAAAAGGCAAUCAAGUUAAGAAUAGAAAAUAACAUUAUUUGGUUGAAAGGUAAAAAAAAAAAUGAAAAUUGAAAAAAGGUAAAAUAAAAAAUAAAAGGGAUAAAUGAUUUGAAGAAUAAUGAAACUUUGCGUCUUCUGCAUAUUAAAUUUAUUAUUGACAAUAUUCUAGUAGAUCAUUCCGGAUGAAAUGUUUAACUUUCAAAUUGGUAGUAAACGCAACUGUUCAAAUGAAAUUACGAUGCAUAUUUCAUACAUUCAUAAGCAUCGGUGUUUUUCGCUAAACUCCCGAUCUUGCAUGAGUUAACGUAUCAUUUCGUCUCCUAUUGCAGGUAAAUUUAACCUCAUCCUGCAUUGUGUCAACAAUUAUUUUUAUAGUUUUACACACUUUGAAAAAAUAGUUUGUGACAGAUGUCAGACCACGAUAAUCAUAAGCAACAAAAAGAUCUGCAAUAGUUGGUGAAAAAAA